rnacentral:rRNA from 1 species
UACAGAGGUCUCAAGCGUUGUUCGGAUUCAUUGGGCGUAAAGGGUACGUAGGUGGCGCCAUAAGUCAGGUGUGAAAUCUCGGGGCUCAACCCCGAAACUGCACUUGAUACUGUGGUGCUCGAGUACUGGAGAGGAGAUUGGAAUUUACGGUGUAGCAGUGAAAUGCGUAGAUAUCGUAAGGAAGACCAGUGGCGAAGGCGAAUCUCUGGACAGUUACUGACACUGAGGCACGAAGGCCAGGGGAGCAAACGGG